GAACGAGAAAGUCCGCAAGGAUGAGUAGAGUGCGUACGGUGAGUAACACGUGGAUAACCUGCCCUUUAGUGGGGAAUACCGCUGGGAAACCGGUGACAAUACCGCAUAAGCCCGAGAGGGGAAAGCAGAAAUGCGCUGAAGGAGGGGUCCGCGGCCGAUUAGCUAGUUGGUAGGGUAAAAGCCUACCAAGGCUGUGAUCGGUAGCCGGCCUGAGAGGGCACACGGCCACACUGGCACUGAAACACGGGCCAGACUCCUACGGGAGGCAGCAGUGGGGAAUCUUGCACAAUGGGGGAAACCCUGAUGCAGCGACGCCGCGUGAGCGAUGAAGCCCUUCGGGGUGUAAAGCUCUUUCGGCAGGGACGAUAAUGACGGUACCUGCAGAAGCAGCUGCGGCUAACUACGUGCCAGCAGCCGCGGUAAUACGUAGGCAGCAAGCGUUGUUCGGAGUUACUGGGCGUAAGGGGUGCGUAGGCGGCUUUUUAAGUCUGGUGUGAAAUCUCCCGGCUCAACUGGGAGGGUGCGCCGGAUACUGAGAGGCUAGAGUGUGGGAGAGGAAAGUGGAAUUCCUGGUGUAGCGGUGAAAUGCGUAGAUAUCAGGAGGAACACCGGUGGUGUAAACGGCUUUCUGGACCAUUACUGACGCUGAUGCACGAAAGCGUGGGUA
rnacentral:rRNA from 1 species